UCAAGUAAUGAUUAGUGCGCAAGCUUGCAGAGCCGGACGGCUGCAGGUUGUUUUCUUGGUGGCCAUGUGGUCUUCAACAACUGACCCCAGGGCACAGAGUGGUGCAGCGGUCUCAGGCACUGAGUGCGGCUUGGCAGUGUGUUUCCGCUGUCCUGGAACGCACCCUGUCUGGUUGCCGGGCGAAUUAGCUUGUUGGGAGAUCGAUGUUCACCCGCACCUGUAUCCCAUCAGUAAUCUGCACACCUGUCCUGAUCAUCACCCCUCCCCUUCAAAAGCUCUGACCUGACAUCCAUUCCCUGCCGGAUCGUUAGCCAUGAACAUUACUCACCCGGAUCAUUUACCCCAUUCCCGCCUGGUCGUCACCGCUGCCCGCUACGCCACCUGGAUAUAUCUACCCAUUCACAUUCACUUGUAAAUAAAUACUCACCUUCUUCCUACUCUCCUUGUCCUGGUCUGCUUCUGGGUCCAAUUCUGGUAAACCCUGACAAU